rnacentral:misc_RNA from 1 species
UCCCACUUAACGUAGGCAGUCUCGUAUGAGAAAUACAACAUACGACAAGGGUUUCGCUCGUUAUCGGACUUAACCGUACACCUCACGGCACGAGCUGACGACAACCAUGCAGCACCUGUCAUUGCGCUCCCCGAAGGGCACCUCUCUGUUUCCAGAGCAUUCGCAAGAUGUCAAGUCUAGGUAAGGUUCCACGUUUACCGUCGAAUUAAACCACACGCUCCACCGCUUGUGUGGGUCCCCGUCUAUUCCUUUGAGUUUUAAGCUUGCGCUCGUAGUCCUCAGGCGGGAUACUUAACGCGUUAGCUUGCGGCACUGAUAGGGGUCGAUUCCUCCCAGUACCUAGUAUCCAAUGUUUAGGGCGUGGACUA